UCGGCUUAGAGUUUGAUCAUGGCUCAGGAUGAACGCUGGCGGUGUGCCUAAUACAUGCAAGUCGUACGCAGGUGCUUGCACCUGAGUGGCGGACGGGUGAGUAACACGUGGGUAACCUACCCAGAAGUGGGGGAUAACAUUUGGAAACAGAUGCUAAUACCGCAUAAAAAUCAAACCACAUGGUUUUGAUUAAAAGAUGUUUGUAUCACUUCUGGAUGGACCCGCGGCGUAUUAGCUAGUUGGUAAGGUAACGGCUUACCAAGGCAAUGAUACGUAGCCGAACUGAGAGGUUGAUCGGCCACAAUGGGACUGAGACACGGCCCAUACUCCUACGGGAGGCAGCAGUAGGGAAUCUUCCACAAUGGGCGCAAGCCUGAUGGAGCAACACCGCGUGAGUGAAGAAGGGUUUCGGCUCGUAAAACUCUGUUGUUAAAGAAGAACGUAUCUAAGGUAACUUAGGUAGUGACGGUAUUUAACCAGAAAGCCACGGCUAACUACGUGCCAGCAGCCGCGGUAAUACGUAGGUGGCAAGCGUUAUCCGGAUUUAUUGGGCGCAAAGCGAGCGCAGGCGGUUUUUUAAGUCUGAUGUGAAAGCCUUCGGCUUAACCGAAGAAGUGCAUCGGAAACUGGGAGACUUGAGUGCAGAAGAGGACAGUGGAACUCCAUGUGUAGCGGUGAAAUGCGUAGAUAUAU
rnacentral:rRNA from 1 species